rnacentral:tRNA from 2 species
GGUGAGAUGGGUGAGUGGCUGAAACCAACAGUUUGCUAAACUGUCAUAUUCCGAAAGGGGUAUCGAGGGUUCGAAUCCCUCUCUCACCG